rnacentral:rRNA from 1 species
AAAUUGAAGAGUUUGAUCAUGGCUCAGAUUGAACGCUGGCGGUAGGCCUAACACAUGCAAGUCGAACGGUAACAGGAAUCAGCUUGCUGAUUCGCUGACGAGUGGCGGACGGGUGAGUAAUGUCUGGGAAACUGCCUGAUGGAGGGGGAUAACUACUGGAAACGGUAGCUAAUACCGCAUAAUGUCGCAAGACCAAAGAGGGGGACCUUCGGGCCUCUUGCCAUCGGAUGUGCCCAGAUGGGAUUAGCUAGUAGGUGGGGUAACGGCUCACCUAGGCGACGAUCCCUAGCUGGUCUGAGAGGAUGACCAGCCACACUGGAACUGAGACACGGUCCAGACUCCUACGGGAGGCAGCAGUGGGGAAUAUUGCACAAUGGGCGCAAGCCUGAUGCAGCCAUGCCGCGUGUAUGAAGAAGGCCUUCGGGUUGUAAAGUACUUUCAGCGGGGAGGAAGGGAGUAAAGUUAAUACCUUUGCUCAUUGACGUUACCCGCAGAAGAAGCACCGGCUAACUCCGUGCCAGCAGCCGCGGUAAUACGGAGGGUGCAAGCGUUAAUCGGAAUUACUGGGCGUAAAGCGCACGCAGGCGGUUUGUUAAGUCAGAUGUGAAAUCCCCGGGCUCAACCUGGGAACUGCAUCUGAUACUGGCAAGCUUGAGUCUCGUAGAGGGGGGUAGAAUUCCAGGUGUAGCGGUGAAAUGCGUAGAGAUCUGGAGGAAUACCGGUGGCGAAGGCGGCCCCCUGGACGAAGACUGACGCUCAGGUGCGAAAGCGUGGGGAGCAAACAGGAUUAGAUACCCUGGUAGUCCACGCCGUAAACGAUGUCGACUUGGAGGUUGUGCCCUUGAGGCGUGGCUUCCGGAGCUAACGCGUUAAGUCGACCGCCUGGGGAGUACGGCCGCAAGGUUAAAACUCAAAUGAAUUGACGGGGGCCCGCACAAGCGGUGGAGCAUGUGGUUUAAUUCGAUGCAACGCGAAGAACCUUACCUGGUCUUGACAUCCACGGAAGUUUUCAGAGAUGAGAAUGUGCCUUCGGGAACCGUGAGACAGGUGCUGCAUGGCUGUCGUCAGCUCGUGUUGUGAAAUGUUGGGUUAAGUCCCGCAACGAGCGCAACCCUUAUCCUUUGUUGCCAGCGGUCCGGCCGGGAACUCAAAGGAGACUGCCAGUGAUAAACUGGAGGAAGGUGGGGAUGACGUCAAGUCAUCAUGGCCCUUACGACCAGGGCUACACACGUGCUACAAUGGCGCAUACAAAGAGAAGCGACCUCGCGAGAGCAAGCGGACCUCAUAAAGUGCGUCGUAGUCCGGAUUGGAGUCUGCAACUCGACUCCAUGAAGUCGGAAUCGCUAGUAAUCGUGGAUCAGAAUGCCACGGUGAAUACGUUCCCGGGCCUUGUACACACCGCCCGUCACACCAUGGGAGUGGGUUGCAAAAGAAGUAGGUAGCUUAACCUUCGGGAGGGCGCUUACCACUUUGUGAUUCAUGACUGGGGUGAAGUCGUAACAAGGUAACCGUAGGGGAACCUGCGGUUGGAUCACCUCCUUACCUUAAAGAA